AUUGAACGCUGGCGGUAUGCUUAACACAUGCAAGUCGAACGGUAACAGGCCUUCGGGCGCUGACGAGUGGCGGACGGGUGAGUAACGCGUAGGAAUCUGCCUCAUAGUGGGGGACAACGUGGGGAAACUCACGCUAAUACCGCAUACGCCCUACGGGGGAAAGGACGGGGGAGUCUUCGGACCUCGCGCUAUGAGAUGAGCCUGCGUUAGAUUAGCUAGUUGGUAGGGUAAAGGCCUACCAAGGCGACGAUCUAUAGCUGGUCUGAGAGGACGAUCAGCCACACUGGGACUGAGACACGGCCCAGACUCCUACGGGAGGCAGCAGUGGGGAAUAUUGGACAAUGGGCGCAAGCCUGAUCCAGCAAUACCGCGUGAGGGAGUGAAGGCCUUCGGGUUUGGUAAACCUACCUUUUCUUGGG
rnacentral:rRNA from 1 species